UACGGAGGGGCUAGCGUUGUUCGGAAUUACUGGGCGUAAAGCGCACGUAGGCGGCUUUGUAAGUUAGAGGUGAAAGCCCGGGGCUCAACUCCGGAAUUGCCUUUAAGACUGCAUCGCUUGAACGUCGGAGAGGUGGAGUGGAAUUCCGAGUGUAGAGGUGAAAUUCGUAGAUAUUCGGAAGAACACCAGUGGCGAAGGCGGCUCAGCUGGACGACUGUUGGACGCUGAGGUGCGAAAGCGUGGGGAGCAAACAGG
rnacentral:rRNA from 1 species